rnacentral:rRNA from 1 species
UACGAAGGGGGCUAGCGUUGUUCGGAAUUACUGGGCGUAAAGCGCACGUAGGCGGAUAUUUAAGUCAGGGGUGAAAUCCCAGAGCUCAACUCUGGAACUGCCUUUGAUACUGGGUAUCUUGAGUAUGGAAGAGGUAAGUGGAAUUGCGAGUGUAGAGGUGAAAUUCGUAGAUAUUCGCAGGAACACCAGUGGCGAAGGCGGCUUACUGGUCCAUUACUGACGCUGAGAUGCGAAAGCGAGGGGAGCAAACAGG